rnacentral:rRNA from 1 species
GACGAACGCUGGCGGCGUGCCUAAUACAUGCAAGUAGAACGCACAGUUUAUACCGUAGCUUGCUACACCAUAGACUGUGAGUUGCGAACGGGUGAGUAACGCGCAGGUAACCUGCCUGGUAGCGGGGGAUAACUAUUGGAAACGAUAGCUAAUACCGCAUAAUAUUGAUUAUUGCAUGAUAAUUAAUUGAAAGGUGCAAUUGCACCACUACCAGAUGGACCUGCGUUGUAUUAGCUAGUAGGUGAGGUAACGGCUCACCUAGGCGACGAUACAUAGCCGACCUGAGAGGGUGAUCGGCCACACUGGGACUGAGACACGGCCCAGACUCCUACGGGAGGCAGCAGUAGGGAAUCUUCGGCAAUGGACGAAAGUCUGACCGAGCAACGCCGCGUGAGUGAAGAAGGUUUUCGGAUCGUAAAGCUCGGUUGUAAGAGAAGAACGGGUGUGAGAGUGGAAAGUUCACACUGUGACGGUAUCUGACCAGAAAGGGACGGCUAACUACGUG